rnacentral:lncRNA from 1 species
AUGUUCAGGGUUCUCAGCUCAUGCAUCUGGCGCACCAUCCUGUUGAUGCCAUCGUCACUAAUGUGGCACGAGCACAGGGACAGGGAUUUGAGCUGGUCAUGUGAGAGAGAAGGAUUGGCCCGCCGCAGAUGCAGCUUGGCUUCCACCCCCUCCACACCGACUUGUGGUAGGAAGCGUCCCUCCAAGCAGCGCACACUUGGGCCACCCUGCCUUUGUCCCUUACAUCCAAGUAGCUGAAAAUCAUGGCUAAAAUUUCCGGAAAGAGGCACGAUAUGUGCGUCUCCAUUUUAAACAGGCAUAAAAAUCACUCCGGUUCCCCGAGCCCACCGACGUAUUUCCCUCUGUAAAAGUAGAGUCCCCUGUAAUCCGGAAGAAAGCGGUUAUGCUUUUUUAACAGACCUUUUCCCUAUUUCCUCUUUAUACAUUUAACGGCGCAAAUCGAUCAACUCCACAUCCCACGUGAUCCGUCUGGUUGCGCAGUAGGAUUCAAAUGCAAAAAGCCCCAAAACCUUGUUCCAAUAUAUCCCCUCACCAAGAGGGGGGAAGCGAAGGAUAGGAACGGAAAGCGCCCGAGCCCUCCUUGGUCAGACGACGCUACCUAUGAUGCCUUUAGAAACACGUCUAGGCUCGCGCCGAGGAUCCAAACGGUCAUACAUUUUCAAAAGAGACCUUUAAACUAUCAUAAAUACACGGAGGGUUGGAAUUCCAGUCUGCUUCUUCUCUCUGUCUCUCUUCCUCUCCGUUAUCAGAAAAGGAGUGGGGUUUCAGUUUGCUUUUGCGCUCUCUCGGCUCGCACGCAUUGCCAAGCCGAAGGGCUUCCUGCCUGCCUUUGUCUGGUCUUUCAAACUGACUUGGCAGGGCCGUGAGCACCGCUCUACCGCGGGGGAGGGACAUACACAUUACAAAUUAUAAAGCCGUUUUCUUUAUAUUAAAGGAAUACUGUAAAAUACAAUAUAUAUUAUCCAUGUUCCUAGUAAAUAAGAACAUUGUGUGACUUGCUUUAGCAUAGGAUAUUUAAAAUGUAUUUAAGAGA